GAGUGGAUGCCGAUUCAGGUUCUCCAGGGCCAAGAGGUGCUUUGGCACCAUCUAGUGGACAUGAGCAGAAAGAGACAAAAUUAGUACAGGAUGUGAAAUGUACCUUUUUCAACUGUCCAGAGAGACAUUCGUCCCAGUGCAGUUUUGGGGGAACCUGCAAAAGAGAAAUGGGUUUAAAAAUGUUCACUUCAGCCAUUUUGCUUUGCCGCAUGCUCAAACCCAGCAGACGGCCCCAUUCACUGUUUUCUUGUUCCCCAGGCAGCUCUGGAUGAAGUAAAGGUGCCGUUUCACCUGCGCAUGCACACAAAAAGGAUGUCAGCAAGAGCGAAUUGAAGUCAUUUACGACGUCCUUACCCUCCUUCUGUCUCAUCCAGGAGCAAAACAGCAACUUGAGGCCGGACUCUCAACGUGCAGAGUGCCGUUGACAGCACCAACUUUGGCAAUCCUCCUCAUGAGGAAAAAAAAUGUCCAACCGCUUCUGAGGGCCCCAGAAUGGACAAGCCUGAACACAAACAGGAGCGUCUUGGUGACCAGGGUGCAGACUCCACGAUGGCACCAACUGGAAGCCUCUGUGCACACAUCACUGGCAAAAAAGAUCGACGUUACUCGAGCCUGUCCACAGUCUUUGCCGAUUCAGGUUCUGCAGGGGCAAGAGAUGCUUUGGCACCACCUGAGCAGAAAGAAAAACAAAAUGAGUACGCAAGUACAGAAUGGUCAAUGUAUCUUUUAGACGGUCCCGAGAGACAUUCGUCCCGGUGCAGCUUUGGGGGAACCUGCAAAAGAGAAAAUGUGUUAAAAAA